UACGAAGGGGGCUAGCGUUGCUCGGAAUCACUGGGCGUAAAGCGCACGUAGGCGGACUCUUAAGUCAGGGGUGAAAUCCUGGAGCUCAACUCCAGAACUGCCUUUGAUACUGGGAGUCUCGAGUUCGGGAGAGGUGAGUGGAACUGCGAGUGUAGAGGUGAAAUUCGUAGAUAUUCGCAAGAACACCAGUGGCGAAGGCGGCUCACUGGACUGGUAUUGACGCUGAGGUGCGAAAGCGUGGGGAGCAAACAGG
rnacentral:rRNA from 1 species